rnacentral:rRNA from 1 species
UCGGGAAUAUUGCGCAAUGGAGGAAACUCUGACGCAGUGACGCCGCGUAUAGGAAGAAGGUUUUCGGAUUGUAAACUAUUGUCGUUAGGGAAGAUACAAGACAGUACCUAAGGAGGAAGCCCCGGCUAACUAUGUGCCAGCAGCCGCGGUAAUACAUAGGGGCAAGGCGUAUCCGGAUUAUUGGUGUAAAGGGUGCGUAGAUGGAGGAGCAAGUUGGUUGUGAAAUCCCUCGGCUCAACUGAGGAACUGCAACCAAAACUACUUCCCUUGAGUGUCGGAGAGGAAAGUGGAAUUCCUAGUGUAGCGGUGAAAUGCGUAGAUAUUAGGAGGAACACCAGUGGCGAAGGCGACUUUCUGGACGAUAACUGACAUUGAGGCACGAAAGUGUGGGGAGCAAACAGGAUUAGAUACC